rnacentral:rRNA from 1 species
UACGUAGGGAGCGAGCGUUGUCCGGAUUCAUUGGGCGUAAAGAGCUCGUAGGCGGCUUGGUAAGUCGGAUGUGAAACCUCCAGGCUCAACCUGGAGUCGCCAUCCGAUACUGCCAUGGCUAGAGUCCGGUAGGGGCCCACGGAAUUCCUGGUGUAGCGGUGAAAUGCGCAGAUAUCAGGAGGAACACCGAUGGCGAAGGCAGAUCUCUGGGCCGUAACUGACGCUGAGGAGCGAAAGCGUGGGGAGCGAACAGG